UGUAGUUAUGGAGGUAGAGAGACGGUGAUGAAGCUGGUGAUGUUGGUAUGAUCCGACGUUAAGAAUAUUUUUAGCCUUUAAUCUACAACAAACCAUUCUAAGAUCUAAUUCUUAUAGAAACGAUAUGUUCUUUCUCUCUUUAUUAAGAGACCAAAAUCAGGUCAUGAAUAUAGCUUCGUGAUGAACAUAGGAUAAAGACUUGUUAUUAUCACACCAAUCAUUCUUACAGAAUGUUGUCAUAUAAUUCGUAUUCUAAUAAAAUGUGUUCUUUCAGAAUGUAUAAAACAAUUCUCAGUAAUGAUAUUCUUUUUGAAUGAUUUA